UACGUAGGGUGCGAGCGUUAAUCGGAAUUACUGGGCGUAAAGCGUGCGCAGGCGGCGCCGCAAGUCGAGUGUGAAAUCCCCGAGCUUAACUUGGGAAUUGCGCUCGAAACUACGGUGCUGGAGUGUGGCAGAGGGAGGUGGAAUUCCACGUGUAGCGGUGAAAUGCGUAGAUAUCUGGAGGAACACCGGUGGCGAAGGCGGCAUCCUGGACCAAUAUUGACGCUGAGGAGCGAAAGCCAGGGGAGCAAACAGG
rnacentral:rRNA from 1 species